AAGAUGAUACAGAACCAUAAACUUUGGUCUUGGUAGAGCUACACCUUCACCUCUGCCAGUUUUGCAGUGGUGUUUGCAGCUGGACCAGGACCAUUAUCCAACUCAGCUUGGCACGGCUCAAGUGCACAACUGCAACCUUUUCCAUGACCCAAAAGUCAGUGCCACUCUGUGGGCUGGCAGUUUGCAAAUAAAACAUAUCCUUAAUGAAGUGUGGAAGCUCCUGUUCUUUCCCUUCCUCAAGAGACGUGCCUUAAUCUCUGGCUCAGAGCCUUGUCAAAUGCUGCAGUACAGAACUGGCAAGCUCAACGCUGCUAAUGGAUUGAAACCUUCACCAGGUUGUUCAUUUCUAGAGGGGCUUCUGAGGAGUAAUGACAACGUUAUUGUGCAGAAUUACCUGCUGUGGUUUAAAAAAUGCACCUGCCAGUGUGAAAAUCUGGGAAUCUGGUGAUGGCAGGUUUGAAAAGAGUUCAGCAGCCCAGUGUUACCCUGUGAAAAGCAACAGAGCACAAGCUCCUGUCUGAUUCAGUCUUACACUUUUGAUGUCUCAAACAAAGGUCAGCACCUUCACAAGGCUCACAUUGACAAGUGGAUGAGACAAGCAAGUGGGCUGGAGAAGACAUCUGCCUCCAAUAUCCUGAUGGACCUCGAGGACCUGUGUGU